GAUGAACGCUGGCGGCGUGCCUAAUACAUGCAAGUCGAGCGAAUGGAUUAAGAGCUUGCUCUUAUGAAGUUAGCGGCGGACGGGUGAGUAACACGUGGGUAACCUGCCCAUAAGACUGGGAUAACUCCGGGAAACCGGGGCUAAUACCGGAUAACAUUUUGAACCGCAUGGUUCGAAAUUGAAAGGCGGCUUCGGCUGUCACUUAUGGAUGGACCCGCGUCGCAUUAGCUAGUUGGUGAGGUAACGGCUCACGAAGGCAACGAUGCGUAGCCGACGUGAGAGGGUGAUCGGCCACACUGGGACUGAGACACGGCCAAGACUCCUACGGGAGGCAGCAGUAGGGAAUCUUCCGCAAGGGACGAAAGUCUGACGGAGCAACGCCGCGUGAGUGAUGAAGGCUUUCGUGUCGUAAAACUCUGUUGUUAGGGAAGAACAAGUGCUAGUUGAAUAAGCUGGCACCUUGACGGUACCUAACCAGAAAGCCACGGCUAACUACGUGCCAGCCGCCGCCGUAA
rnacentral:rRNA from 1 species